rnacentral:rRNA from 1 species
GGUAAGAAAAUUUUAUGGUUGUACCUUUUGUAUCAGGGAAGUUUAAAAGUGUAUAAAGGCUAUAGUCGAUUUUACCGGAUUUUCUUGUUUAGCUAUUAGUUAAAUUUAAUAGUUAAAUCUGUUAAGAGGUGAAAAGUGUACGGCGGUGUUGGUAUCUAAUUGUUUAUGAAUUUUAUGAGGAUAAGCUUCUAAAAUUUUAUGUUUUAUUGUAGUCAUAAAAACUAGGCUUUAAAUUAGUCAUGUUUGUAUGUUGUUUUAAAUAAUUUUUUGGAGAGUGUUAAUAAAUGUAAAGUUAAUCAGACUAUAUUAAAACUUAUUAGUUAGUUAAAAAUAAUGAAUUUAUUGAAUAAUAAAUGGAGUUUUUAAAUAACUAAGUUCAAGUUAGAUGGUUUAGCAAAAACAUUUCUGUUUGGUUUGUAAAAAGUAAGGCCUGCCCGGUGUAAUUUUAACGGCUGCGGUAUUUUGACCGUGCUAAGGUAGCAUAAUCAUUUGUUUCUUAAUUGGUAACCGGAAUGAAAGGUUAAACUAGUUUGUUAAGUUUGUUUAACUAAAUAAGAGAUUUAAGUAAAGGUAAGAAUUCUUUUAUUUUCUAGGGGACGAUAAGACCCUAGAAGCUUAAUAAAAAGGUUUGUUUUUAGUAGUGGCAGUUUAUUUGUUUUACUGGGGCGGUAUGGGUAUAUAAACUACACAAGUUUUGAGAGAUCUUUUACAUAAAAAUAAAAUGGUAAAGUUACUCUAGGGAUAACAGUACAAUAUAUUUGGAGAGACCCUAUCGAUAAAUAUGUUUGUAACCUCGAUGUUGAAUUAAAAUAUCUACGUAGGGCAGAUAACUCAAUAGAAGGUUUGUUCAACCUUUAAAU